AAUGCCUAGGAAUCUGCCUGGUAGUGGGGGAUAACGUUCGGAAACGGACGCUAAUACCGCAUACGUCCUACGGGAGAAAGCAGGGGACCUUCGGGCCUUGCGCUAUCAGAUGAGCCUAGGUCGGAUUAGCUAGUUGGUGAGGUAAUGGCUCACCAAGGCGACGAUCCGUAACUGGUCUGAGAGGAUGAUCAGUCACACUGGAACUGAGACACGGUCCAGACUCCUACGGGAGGCAGCAGUGGGGAAUAUUGGACAAUGGGCGAAAGCCUGAUCCAGCCAUGCCGCGUGUGUGAAGAAGGUCUUCGGAUUGUAAAGCACUUUAAGUUGGGAGGAAGGGUUGUAGAUUAAUACUCUGCAAUUUUGACGUUACCGACAGAAUAAGCACCGGCUAACUCUGUGCCAGCAGCCGCGGUAAUACAGAGGGUGCAAGCGUUAACCGGAAUUACUGGGCGUAAAGCGCGCGUAGGUGGUUUGUUAAGUUGGAUGUGAAAUCCCCGGGCUCAACCUGGGAACUGCGUUCAAAACUGACUGACUAGAGUAUGGUAGAGGGUGGUGGAAUUUCCUGUGUAGCGGUGAAAUGCGUAGAUAUAGGAAGG
rnacentral:rRNA from 1 species